UAAAAUUGAGUUGGAGCUUUUGUAUAAUUUGUCUCAAUGUGUUACACAAUCCGCGAUUUAUUUGCUUAAUACAACAUUUCUACUAUCUUCUUGUCCGGUCACCUCUGCAACUACCACCGUGAACAAAAAUGCACAAACCAAACCCUAAAUUUCCGUACAAUUUGAACAGACCACUUUCAACAGACACGGUGAUGGAUUCAAAGCAACUCAUCGACUCUCUCACCGCACACAUCUCUCUAUACCACUCAUCUUCUCAUUCUCUCUCUACAAAUACUAACCCUAACCCUAGGUCUUCCAUCCUCAAAUGGUUCUCAUCUCUCACCGUCCAUCAACGCCAAGCCCACCUCACCACCGUCGAUCCAAACUUCAUCCAAAUUCUCCUCCAAAUGCAAGGCAAGCACCGAUCAGAUGGUCACGGUUUCUUCAUCAUCCUCCCUGAUCUACCCUCUGGCGACCGCCCGUGCCUUCCUACUCUCUGUUUUCGGAGGUCUCACGGCCUCUUAGCUCGAGUUAGCGGGUCAAAUGAGUCCGAGAGGAUGAUUUUUGAGGCAAUUCGGUUUUUCAAUUCGAGAGAAGGGGAGAAUGUUGUGGAUUGUUCGUGUAACUCGAAUUGCCUCGAUUCCAUGACUGUGUGUGAAGAGUUUGUUGAAAACGUGGAUCGGUUUGUUGGAGUGAUGGAUGCGGUGUCAAAUGGGGGAUUUUUGAGGGGGGAGGAAAGUGGGUUGGGUUCAGAUUGGGUUGAAUUGGAGUGGUUGAAGGCGAAAGGGUAUUACAGUAUCGAGGCUUUCGUGGCGAACAGGUUGGAGGUGGCCUUGCGGUUGUCGUGGUUGAAUUCUAAUAAUGGAAAGAAGAGGGGGGUCAAAUUGAAAGAGAAGGCUGCCGCUGCGGGCAUGACAGCAAAUGCGUAUUGGAGGAAGAAGGGGUGUAUUGACUGGUGGAGAAAGUUGGAUGUCGAAAUGAGGAGAAAAGUCUUUACUACAGUCUUGGGAAAAGCGGCAAAAUCUCUGACGAUUGAGAUAUUGAAGGGGGCAGAUAAUAGCUUGGAUGAUAAAAUGUCGCUAGUUAGUGCAGGAGCAGAACAACCAUUGAAAUAUAACAAUACCAUGUUAUGUCAAAAGACCAUCUGUACACACACAGGAAAAGAUGUAUCCAUUGAUUUGACUUCCGCUCCUGCUUCAGUUUCUGGAAAGCCUUCUUCAUUUGUCAAUGCAGUCAACGGUUUAUUUGUUCUUCUUGAUAUUUUGGAUUUAUCAUUAGCUUGUCAGCAUAGUAAAUAUGAUCAAGACAAUCUAUUCUUUAGUUCAUUGGUUUCUGUCAGCACCAUUUCAGAUUGUAUAUUAAGGAAAUUGCGAGGGUUACUCAUGAUUAUUUCACUUGAUUGUACAAAGCUUGAACUACUGGACGAGGGAGAUCUGAAAGUCCCUCCAAAAAUGUCCAAAGAGAAGCCUUGUGCCAAUGGCCGUAGAAAAAAAGGGAAGACCCGUAAUAUGAAAAGGCCCAAUCCUGUUCCAAGAUCUUCUGGAGAUGAUGAUCUCCCACUUUAUAAACUUCCCAAGGAUUGUGGGUCUGGAUUGGUCCAUAAAGAUAGUGAAGAUGUAAUUGGGUUGAACGGGAUUGCUUGCACACUUCAGGGGAAGGGUCUUGAUAGAGGAACUCCUUUAUCAGCAGUUGACAUGGAACAUGACCAAGGGUCUAUUAAAGGAAGUAUCCAGAAUUCUAAGAGGAAGAGUAGGAAAAAAAGCAAUAAAAGUAGAUACUCUGGUUUAAAUGAUCCAGCUGAAGUUGGAAACUUCCAAAAAAAAGUCACAGAAAUUUCUACUCCCCGUGAAAUUACUUCGCAAGUUGAGGCCACAAACCCUGAUUGGUUAUCUGAUAAGUCAAUUGUUCAGUAUGCGCCAAAUGAUAUUUCAAUUGGUAGUGAGAAAGACAUGCUAGACACAAGUCCUAAUAAUUCCACCAGUGGGCCUAUUAGGGAGGACAACCUGGUCCAAAGCAGCCAAGAAGAAUAUUUUGAUGAUUCUACAGAAUGCAGUCAUACUGAUUUCAAACGGUGUCACUCCUUGGACAUAACAAUAGAUUAUCACAGCAUGUCCUCCAGAAUAGGAACUGUAAGUUCUAGAAUGGAUUAUAAUGGAACAACUCCUGCUUUGCCUUCAAAUGAGGUUGAUGGUUUUCUCGUCACUGAAGUGAUCGACUGUCGUGCUGGACUUUUAAGUGAAAUUGACAAAAAGUCCGUCUUUUCUGAUGUUCUAACAAAUUCAGUUGGUCCAAAAGAAAAGAUCUCCUCAACUGGGAAGCAAGAAAAUGCAAGAAAUUGUGAUACUGGGUCCAUAAGUUCUUCAGGAUGUCCUUCAUUUGAGUGGCCUACUGUAUCUUCUGUUCGUUUUCCAUCUGUUAAUUCACAUCUCCCAGCUGCCACUGAUAGAUUGCAUCUGGAUGUUGGUCACAAUUGGCAUAAUCAUUUCCACCGAUCCUUUAUACAAACAGUGCAUCAGUCAAGAAAUCCUUCAAUUGACAAUGGGGGUAACCGGAAUUUGUCUCGACCAUUACCAAUGAGUUUGGAUUGGCCCCCGAUGGUACGUAGUAUCAAUGGAUUGGCUUCAUCGGUGACAUGUAGUUAUGAUUCUGGUUUUAUCUUAAGGCAGCCUUCUUUUCAGCAGGGUUUCACUGCUCAAAGCGUGCAGCCCAGAGGAAUGACCAAUGAGGAUGAAAGAAUGUACUCUGGAGAUUUAACAGACUUGUCUGAUCUACAAACUUCACAGGAACUAGUAGAUGAACUUGACAACCACUGGAUAUCAGAGGAAGAGCUUGAGGUGCAUGCAGUUUCUGGGAUGGAUUAUAAUCAAUAUUUUGGUGGGGGAGUGAUGUACUGGAAUCCUUCUGAUCAUCAUGGGACCAGUUUUUCUCGUCCUCCUUCUCUUAGUUCAGAUGAUAGUUCUUGGGCUUGGCAUGAAGCUGACAUGAAUAGGGCUGUUGAUGAUAUGGUUGCAUUCUCUUCAUCUUACAGUACUAAUGGUCUGACUUCUCCAUCUGCCGCAUCUUUUGUUUCUCCUUUUGAUCCAUUAGGACCAGUGCACCAGGCCCUUGGUUAUGUUAUAGCAGGUGGUGAAGUAAAUGGAAAGGUGCUGCAUACCCCAUCUACAGUGACAGAUGUAGCAGCAGACGAGAAUACCUCCGGAUCUUUGUCCAAUUUGCCUGUUGAUGGUGAAGUGAAGGCAGGAGAUUCAUUUCCUUACCCUGUUCUGCCACCAAUUAUCAUUCCGAAUAUGUCACGGGAAAGAUCAAGGUCUGAUUUUAGGCGUAGUCAUGAUCAUAAAAGUCCAUGUGUUCCUCCUAACAGGCGGGAGCAACCUCGGAUCAAGCGGCCACCUUCACCUGUAGUGCUUUGUGUUCCACGUGCUCCUCGUCCUCCUCCACCCUCUCCGGUAGGUGACUCCAGAAAACACAGGGGAUUUCCAACUGUUCGGUCUGGUAGCUCCAGCCCAAGGCAAUGGGGUGUGAAAGGAUGGUUCCAUGAUGGAACUAACUUUGAGGAAGCUUGUGUGCGCAUGGAUGGUAGUGAAGUGGUUUGGCCCACCUGGAGAAAUAAAAGCCUUUCAGCACAUCCCAUGAUUCAGCCUUUAUCAGGCGCUUUGCUGCAGGAUCGGCUCAUCGCAAUCUCCCAGCUAACUCGUGAUCAGGAACAUCCUGAUGUUUCAUUGCUUCUGCAACCACCUGAUUUACUGAACUGUUCUGCACGUAAGGCAUCUCUCUCUCUGCUCCACAGCCUCCUUCAUGAAGAAAUUGACUCCUUCUGCAAGCAGGUUGCUGCAGAGAAUAUGAUUAGGAAGCCUUAUGUUAAUUGGGCUGUCAAGCGGGUUACAAGGUCUCUUCAAGUCUUAUGGCCCCGGUCUAGGACACACAUCUAUGGUUCAAAUGCAACUGGUUUGUCCCUUCCAACAAGCGAUGUGGACCUUGUUGUUUCGCUUCCUCCAGUGAGGAACUUGGAACCAAUUAAAGAAGCUGGGAUCUUGGAGGGUCGCAAUGGUAUUAAAGAAACUUGCCUCCAGCAUGCUGCUAGGUAUCUUGCGAAUCAGGAAUGGGUUAAAAAUGAUUCUCUCAAGACUGUCGAAAAUACAGCUAUACCUAUUAUCAUGCUUGUUGUGGAAGUUCCUAAUGACCUUAUUAUCUCUGCUACUUCCAAUGUACAUGCAAUUAAAGAGGAACCAACUCAGGUGACUGGUGAACUGGCCAAUCUUUUUCAGACUGAUUUGGUUGGUUUAGAAAACUCUACUCCUUCAAAACUUUCACAGAUGGAUAAUGAUAACGACAAGAAUGUGAAAUCAGUUCGUCUUGACGUCAGUUUUAAGUCGCCAUCCCACACAGGUUUCCAAACAACAGAACUGGUUAAGGAGCUCACUGAGCAAUUUCCUGCUGCUACGCCCCUUGCUCUGGUAUUAAAGCAGUUCUUGUCAGAUCGUAGCCUGGACCAAUCCUAUUCAGGUGGCUUAAGUUCAUAUUGUCUGAUAUUACUGAUUACACGUUUUCUUCAGCAUGAGCAUCACCUUGGCCGGCCUAUUAACCAAAAUCUUGGAAGCUUGCUGAUGGAUUUUCUCUACUUCUUUGGGAAUGUGUUUGAUCCUCGCCAAAUGCGUAUUUCAGUGCAGGGAAGUGGGAUUUACAUAAAUAGGGAACGAGGAUAUAGCAUCGACCCAAUAUACAUUGAUGAUCCUCUUUUCCCAACAAAUAAUGUGGGGCGAAAUUGCUUCCGGAUACAUCAAUGCAUCAAGAUGCUUAUUCUAUCCUGGAAAGCGAGCUUCCAUGCAUUCUUAGUGAUGGUGACUCAAGUACUAAGCCCCCAUAUAAACUACUUCCAAAAAUUAUUCCAAGUAUCAGUCUUCCCUAGGGGUUCUAAUUAUCCAAAGGAGUUAUAUAAAUUUGGAAGGAUUGGAGAAGCGGUGGAAUGCUAUUACGGAUAUUGAGAAUGAUCCUGUAGUCUGCCUGCCUGUCAACUGGCCCUAUUGGGGGGUUAAUGUCCAUUUUCGACUCGUGUCCUUGGAGACGUUGAAAUAGGGGACUUGGCCUGCAAAAGGAUCUGCGUAUAAAAUGAGAAUCCACAUAUCCACGUUCUAUAUGGCAUGUCAGUCAUUGGGGUCUGCCAUACUGGAAGCCACAAUGCCCGAGUCUUUCAUGGAGAGGGUAUGUUGGACUGCGACAUCAGUUUAGGCUUUCAACCUGCAUCUAAGAUUGCGUUCCGAUUUCUAUGUGCUGCUUUGAAAUGAUUUAUCACAUAUUGUUGGUAAGUGCGGAACAGAAUGCUCUGGGUUUGGCCAAGUGAAGGGGGAUGUCGGUGCAUCAUACACUUGUCCAUAUAUUUUCCCCAUUGUAAUGAAGGUGUUGUCUUCAAAGAGGGAUGGCCUACAUAUCUGAGGCUCUCUUAGGAUUCAUAUUUAUCAUGACUUGUGGAAAGAUGAUAACAGUUGAACAUCUUUUCCUCCCUGUUCGUCAGCAAUCCGCAAUGGCAGGACCAACGCUGAGCAUCAUGACCAAGAAUUGAAUCUGCUUUUAUUGCUGCUGAAAUGACCUCUUACACCAUGCAUCUUCUCCUAUGCCGAUCCAAAAUUGGGGUCAGAAGAAUUUAUGGGCUCUAAUAUUAAGCGCGAAUGUGAGAAGCACCGUCAAUGUCGAUAUCAAGCCUGUUUUUUUUUUUUUUUUUUUUUUUUUUUUUUUUCACGUUUAUAUGACAUGAAUGUACUAAAAAUAAAUAAAAUGAAAAAAAAAAAAAAAAAAAAAA